rnacentral:rRNA from 1 species
AUUGAACGCUGGCGGCAGGCCUAACACAUGCAAGUCGCACGAGUGGCGGACGGGUGAGUAAUGUCUGGGAAACUGCCUGAUGGAGGGGGAUAAAUACUGGAAACGGUAGCUAAUACCGCAUACCAUCGGAUGUGCCCAGAUGGGAUUAGCUAGUAGGUGGGGUAAAGGCUCACCUAGGCGACGAUCCCUAGCUGGUCUGAGAGGAUGACAAGCCACACUGGAACUUAGACACGGUCCAGCCUCCUACGGGAGGCAGCAGUGGGGAAUAUUGCACAAUGGGCGAAAGCCUGAUGCAGCCUUGCCGCGUGUAUGAAGAAGUCCGUCUGGUUGUAAAGUACUUUCAGCGGGGAGGCGUUACCCGCAGAAGAAGCACAGGCUAACUCCGUGCCAGCAGCCGCGGUAAUUA